UCCCCCGCGCAGCGAACUCUAGCCCGUCCAGAUCGAACACCCCUCCUCCCUCGUCCCCAUCUCCUCGCCGCCGCCACCACCUCCUCCCCGCCCCCCUCUCGAUCCCCACCUCCUCCCCGUCCCCUGGCCAUGGAUGUCGUCGACUCUUCCCUUCCAUCUCACCAUCUCCUUCCCCAAGCGAUUGCCUCUCGUGCUCGUGCUCCCCUUCGUCGUCGCCUCGCCGUCUCUGGUGCUCCGGCGACGAAAGGCUGCUCCUUGGAGCGUGCGCGCUCACGGUACCGGCCAGAUCCGGCGUUCAAGCCGGCCCUAGGGGGCAGGAUCGGCACCGGCGACUGUGUUGACGGAAGUUUGCAGAGGGAGAAUCGGCGCUGGUUUGCUCCGGUGGAGGUGGGCCGGGCGGUUCCUGGUGGCCUGAUGAAGCGCUCCACGGACGACACGCUCGCCGCUGCCGGCUCCAAGCCCAAGGGCACCGCCGUCGCUCGAUCCGAUCCGUCGCCGCCGCAGCCCAUGCCUCCGGCGGGGUCGGGGUCGGCGCUGGUGCCGGCGCCGCUGCCUCAGGCCGUGGCCGCUCCGCCCGCGCAGCCCUCUGGCGGCUCAGGGGCUGCUGCCGCCGCCGCUGUCGUCCAGAAGCUGACGACCAACGACACGCUCGUCUACCUCAAGGCCGUCAAGGACAAGUUCCAGGACAACCGCGCCAAGUACGAGGAGUUCCUCGAGGUCAUGCGCGACUUCAAUAGCGAGAGUGAAUCCACUGUGUUGGGCAGCGCCUCCUACUCGCAGCGAGCUGCUUCAUAUGGGGGCUUCAGCUUCAAACCCCAUCGACCUCGACGAUGAACCUGAGGUGUUUGAGACACCACCCAUGCACACCAACAGGAGAAAUCUGAAUCAAGCAGUGCCGUCAUCGAGCGGGCACAACAGGAGGGCGUCACAACAUUGGGCUACAGCUUCGAGAAACCCUCCGCCAUCCAGCAGCGGGUCGUCAUCCCCAUCAUCUCUGGCCGGGACGUCAUCGCCUAGGCCCAGUCCGGCAUCACCAAGACCUCCAUGAUAUCCCUCUCCGUCUGCCAGGUCAUCGACACCAACGUCCACAAGCCCUGACAACAUGGAGCACCUGAAGAGGAUCGCCGAGGAGAUGCAGAAGCAGGUUGCUGCUGCAGGCACUAUCUAGCCCAAGGAGGAGAACGACUUGGAGUUUGGAUGUAUUAUGUAAACCUGGAAGAUGUAUUAUGUGAACCUCGGAGAUGUAUUAUGUGAACCUGGGAGAUGUAUUGUGUUAUGUAAACUUGGGAGAUGUAUUAUGUGAUGUUAUAUGAUGGAUGAUUUUAAUUCGAUUUGGAGUUUUCUUGAUUUGAACAUGAAGUAGUGUUGGAUUU